rnacentral:rRNA from 1 species
GUAGUCCACGCCCUAAACGAUGAGUGCUAGAUAUCGGGGCUUAUGUCCUCGGUGUCGUAGCUAACGCGUUAAGCACUCCGCCUGGGAAGUACGAUCGCAAGAUUAAAACUCAAACGGAAUUGACGGGGACCCGCACAAGCGGUGGAACAUGUGGUUUAAUUCGAUGCUACGCGAAAAACCUUACCAGGCCUUGACAUAAUGGUUAAAUUGUAGAGAGAUCUAUGAGUCGGUUCGGCCGGACCAUUACAGGUGUUGCAUGGCUGUCGUCAGCUCGUGUCGUGAGAUGUUGGGUUAAGUCCCGCAACGAGCGCAACCCUUAUCCUUAGUUACCAGCGGGUUAUGCCGGGCACUUUAAGGAAACUGCCGGUGAUAAGCCGGA